UACGUAGGUGGCAAGCGUUGUCCGGAAUUAUUGGGCGUAAAGCGCGCGCAGGCGGUCCUUUAAGUCUGAUGUGAAAGCCCACGGCUCAACCGUGGAGGGUCAUUGGAAACUGGGGGACUUGAGUGCAGGAGAGAAGAGUGGAAUUCCACGUGUAGCGGUGAAAUGCGUAGAGAUGUGGAGGAACACCUGUGGCGAAGGCGGCCCCCUGGUCGGAUACUGACGCUGAGACGCGAAAGCGUGGGGAGCAAACAGG
rnacentral:rRNA from 1 species